CCGGAGAAGAUGAGUUUAAAAU
rnacentral:siRNA from 1 species